rnacentral:rRNA from 1 species
AGUCGAACGAACUCUUCGGAGUUAGUGGCGGACGGGUGAGUAACACGUGGGAACGUGCCUUUAGGUUCGGAAUAACUCAGGGAAACUUGUGCUAAUACCGAAUGUGCCCUUCGGGGGAAAGAUUUAUCGCCUUUAGAGCGGCCCGCGUCUGAUUAGCUAGUUGGUGAGGUAAAGGCUCACCAAGGCGACGAUCAGUAGCUGGUCUGAGAGGAUGAUCAGCCACAUUGGGACUGAGACACGGCCCAAACUCCUACGGGAGGCAGCAGUGGGGAAUCUUGCGCAAUGGGCGAAAGCCUGACGCAGCCAUGCCGCGUGAAUGAUGAAGGUCUUAGGAUUGUAAAAUUCUUUCACCGGGGACGAUAAUGACGGUACCCGGAGAAGAAGCCCCGGCUAACUUCGUGCCAGCAGCCGCGGUAAUACGAAGGGGGCUAGCGUUGCUCGGAAUUACUGGGCGUAAAGGGAGCGUAGGCGGACAUUUAAGUCAGGGGUGAAAUCCCGGGGCUCAACCUCGGAAUUGCCUUUGAUACUGGGUGUCUUGAGUAUGAGAGAGGUGUGUGGAACUCCGAGUGUAGAGGUGAAAUUCGUAGAUAUUCGGAAGAACACCAGUGGCGAAGGCGACACACUGGCUCAUUACUGACGCUGAGGCUCGAAAGCGUGGGGAGCAAACAGGAUUAGAUACCCUGGUAGUCCACGCCGUAAACGAUGAUUGCUAGUUGUCGGGAUGCAUGCAUUUCGGUG